UACGUAGGGUGCAAGCGUUGUCCGGAAUUAUUGGGCGUAAAGAGCUCGUAGGCGGUUUGUUGCGUCGGCUGUGAAAUCCCGAGGCUCAACCUCGGGUCUGCAGUCGAUACGAGCAAACUAGAGUGUUGCAGGGGAGACUGGAAUUCCUGGUGUAGCGGUGAAAUGCGCAGAUAUCGGGAGGAACACCUAUGGCGAAGGCAGCUCGCUGGGACGUUACUGACGCUGAGACGCGAAAGCGUGGGGAGCAAACAGG
rnacentral:rRNA from 1 species